rnacentral:rRNA from 1 species
UAGAGUUUGAUCAUGGCUCAGAUUGAACGCUGGCGGCAUGCUUUACACAUGCAAGUCGAACGGCAGCGGGGGCUUCGGCCCGCCGGCGAGUGGCGAACGGGUGAGUAAUGCAUCGGAACGUGCCGAGUAAUGGGGGAUAACCUGCCGAAAGGUGGGCUAAUACCGCAUACGCCCUGAGGGGGAAAGUGGGGGACCGCAAGGCCUCACGUUAUUCGAGCGGCCGAUGUCGGAUUAGCUGGUUGGUGGGGUAAAGGCCUACCAAGGCGACGAUCCGUAGCGGGUUUGAGAGGAUGAUCCGCCACACUGGGACUGAGACACGGCCCAGACUCCUACGGGAGGCAGCAGUGGGGAAUUUUGGACAAUGGGGGCAACCCUGAUCCAGCCAUGCCGCGUGAGUGAAGAAGGCCUUCGGGUUGUAAAGCUCUUUCAGACGGGACAAAAGCGCACGCACGAAUACUGUGUGCGGAUGAUGGUACCGUCACAAGAAGCACCGGCUAACUACGUGCCAGCAGCCGCGGUAAU